GACGAACCACCCAAACGUUAUUCGGAAUCACUGGGCUUAAAGAGUGCGUAGGCGGCUAUGUAAGUAGGGUGUGAAAUCCCACAGCUCAACUGUGGAACUGCGCUCUAAACUACAUAGCUAGAGGGAUAUAGAGGUGAGCAGAACUGAUGGUGGAGCGGUGAAAUGCGUUGAUAUCAGAUCACGGAAUGACCGGAGGCGGAAGGCGGCGUCACUGGGUU
rnacentral:rRNA from 1 species